GACGAACGCUGGCGGCGUGCUUAACACAUGCAAGUCGAACGAUGAAGCCGGAGCUUGCUCUGGUGAAUUAGUGGCGAACGGGUGAGUAACACGUGAGUAACCUGCCCUUGACUCUGGGAUAACUGCGGGAAACUGUAGCUAAUACCGGAUACGACCCUCGGAGGCAUCUCCUGGGGGUGGAAAGAAUUUCGGUCAAGGAUGGACUCGCGGCCUAUCAGCUAGUUGGUGAGGUAAAGGCUCACCAAGGCGACGACGGGUAGCCGGCCUGAGAGGGUGACCGGCCACACUGGGACUGGGACACGGCCCAGACUCCGACGUGAGGCAGCAGUGGGGAAUAUUGCGCAAUGGGCGAAAGCCUGACGCAGCAACGCCGCGUGCGGGAUGACGGCCUUCGGGUUGUAAACCGCUUUCAGCAGGGAAGAAGCCGCAAGGUGACGGUACCUGCAGAAGAAGCACCGGCUAACUACGUGCCAGCCGCCGCGGUAA
rnacentral:rRNA from 1 species